UCGAGAAUCUUUAGCAAUGGGCGAAAGCCUGACUAUGCGACGCCGCGUGAGGGAUGAAGGUUUUCGGAUCGUAAACCUCUUUCGAUUGGGAAGAAGUCCCGUAAGGGAUUGACGGUACCAAGAGAAGAAGCCACGGCCAACUCCGUGCCAGCAGCCGCGGUAAUACGGGGGUGGCGAGCGUUACUCGGAAUUACUGGGUGUAAAGGGCAAGUAGGUGGCUCUGUAAGUUGGGGGUGAAAUUCUUCGACUCAAUCGAAGAACUGCCUUCAAAACUGCAGAGCUUGAGGCUGGAAUAGGAGAGCGGAAUUCCCGGUGUAAGGGUGAAAUCUGUAGAUAUCGGGAGGAACACCAGUUGCGAAGGCGGCUCUCUAGUCUAGAUCUGACACUAAUCUGCGAAAGCUAGGGGAGCAAACAGG
rnacentral:rRNA from 1 species